CGUGACGUCACGGGCCACCCGCCAGCCCCGCGCUCUACCAGGCAGAGCGCGUGCGGCCGCCGAGCACAUGGACCCGCUGGUCAAGCGGGCUCGGCAAGGCCAGGAUGAAGAGAAGCUGCGAACUUAGCACUCCCAGAGACCCCCGAGUGGAUAUCCGCGUGGAAAGGAUGUUGGCAGCCCCGGUGACCUCGGAGUCACGGCUGGAUCCACCCUCUUGUCUGAUUUUCUUAACUCGACCACGGUAAGAAGAUGCCCUCCAUCAGCGGGCUGUGCUUGCAGAUGUCGUGGGGCCUCUCUGGAGACUUCCCGAACCCUGUGGAUUUACAGUAAGAUGCAGUUUCCUGGGGAGUAAUUCUGGUGGAUACAAAUUCCGGAGUACUACACCUGGCUUGCCUGGAGAUGUUACAAGUAGUUGGUCGGAUUCUACAGCCUGGAUGCCCACUGAGAACAAGGACUGAAACUGAGAGGACUGUAUCUCUACCCUUGACUCAGUGGGAAUAUUUGCUGUCAUCUCUCGGGUUACCUGGAGCUCCCUCUAAAAUCAUACCCUUGAAGCGUUCCAGAAGGAUUUUGAGGUCCUUUCCUAAAUCAAAGGUGGAAUAUUUGGGGAUUUGGAAAAUUGAGCCAGUCUCUCAGAAGAAUCAGUUGUGUUACUUUGCUGUGAGAUGCCUGCCCUAGGAGAGGAGCAGAAGGUCGGAAAGGGUCCUCUAAUGUGAUAAUUAGAUGAGAAGCAUUGACUUAAGAGAUGCCAAGUAACUCAGCAGAUGUCACACAGACGAUAAAUAGCAAAGAUGGAAGUCUUCAUGCCGGAGGCAAUCCUAUAAGACAGCUGAGUUCUCCAGAGCUGGUAGGAGACAGACUUGCUCAGGUGAUAGAUCCAGCCAUGAUACUGACCCUAAGAGAAUGAGACACUCUGCAGAAGACUUAGAAGAUUCCUGAGACUGGGAAAGGUGCCUAGAAAUCCUGAGAAGAGUGAAGAAGGGUACCUGGAGGCACAGCAGCCGUGUUGAACCUAUGAGGUGAUGAAAAACCAUGCAACUAGAAACCAGAAUGGAAGAAAAGAAGAAGCUGGAUCCUUGACUGAAUCAUAGAUGGGGGAUAGUCCAUCAUCCCAGGGCUAAGACCACCUCCAGAUUUCUUGUUUGGUGAAACAAUUCCUGAUUGUUUACAUUUCUUUAUGUUGAGCUGUCUCUUACUUGUAGCUGAAAGCAUUUCUAAUAGAUAUUCAGAUUAUCAGCCUUAGCUCCAAGCUAGAAUACUCUAUGGGACCUUAGCUUCUCCAUGAAUUCUUUUGCUCAUCUGUGUAGUGCUCAAUAAAUGUAAAUUGAACCCUGAAUGAGGGACAAUGACAC
rnacentral:lncRNA from 1 species